rnacentral:rRNA from 1 species
AGGGCUACCCUGUCUCCCCCCUCCAAUCAGUGUAAACUGAAUCUCCCCGUGAAGACCUCAUGACUACUAGUCUUUCGGCUGGGGCGACCACGGAAGAAAAUAAAACCCCCGAGAUGAAAGGAAAUAUCCUUAUCCCAGAACUACUAUUCCAAGAAUCAAAAAUGACACCAUUGACCCAAUACUUGACCAACGAACCAAGCUACCCUGGGGAUAACAGCGCAAUCCAUUUCAAGAGACCCUAUCGACAAAUGGGCUUACGACCUCGAUGUUGGAUCAGGAAAUCCUGGUGGUGCAGCCGCUACUAAAGGUUCGUUUGUUCAACGAUUAAAACCCUACGUGAUCU